UUUCGUUGUUAUUUGUUUGUAGAUCGUUCCACAUAAUUUGCAGAUAUGCAUCCCUUGCACAACAGUCCUUCAUUUUUAAAGCUUAUUGAUGAAGAUGACCCGAUAUUUUUGGUGAAGAGCUUCUUUCAGACUCCUUCCCCUACAAGGAACUAUUGAAUGGGUUCCUAUGAGAAGUUGAAGAAAAGUUAUGGAUAAUGAAAACAACGCUCCUUCGUUAUUAAAGUCGAUUGA